UCUCCGUUGGUGAACCAGCGGAGGGAUCAUUACAGAGUUGCAAAACUCCCUAACCCUUUGUUUAUAUACCUGUUCAGUUGCUUCGGCAGGCGGCCCCAGGGCGGGGCCUCCAGCCUGCUCACGCAGGUGCCUGUCGCUGGCGCAAAAACUCUUGUUAUAUAUUAUUAUCCUGAGUCACAAAAAAAAUGAAUCAAAACUUUCAACAACGGAUCUCUUGGUUCUG
rnacentral:misc_RNA from 1 species